rnacentral:lncRNA from 1 species
GGCCAUCAGCGCUCACUGCAGCUCCCGCGUUCUUUCUGCUCCAGGCCCGCCGGGGUGCGAGGCUCCACGCGGGGUGGGGGGGUCGCUUUCCCACCUCGCCUGAACAGGCCCCUCCCAAGUGAUGAUGAUCACCGCUUAUCAAGGCCGAGGGUUCUGACCAUCCCACGGUAACCUCUCCAGAAAGCGUUUAUUAAGACAAACAAAGAAGAUGCCGUCGUCAGGCGCACUGCACAUCUCAUUUAAUCCUCAAAGCAAACUCUUCCUUCCACUGUCUAAGGAGGCCCAGACCAGAGCUCCAUUGAGAAGGUGGCACUGAGGGCAAGGCCUGUGCUGCUCCCACCACAGCACUUCUCUGUCUUCCUCGGACACCAACAGGAAGGGUGAUCACCAAUGAGAGGACGGGAAGGAGAUGGUCCUGAAAAGGCCACGUUAUGCAACCUUUCUGUAUUUGCACCUAUUUGGAAGACAGGACUUUGCGUGAGUGUUUCAGUGGGGAGAACAACGCAGAACCUAGCGGCACCGCACGAUGCUUUUGCAAAUGACCAGCUCACAGCCUACUGCAGUCCCAAUAAGCAGACCCCUCACUCACACCCUGCCUGAGGUUCUGUCCACCCUGAUGCCUGGAAGGUGGUGGACCAUGACCACAGGAGUGUCAGCUUCAAGGGCACACCCAGCCCAUCACUUCCCUUCCAGGGGUUAAGUCUUUCAUGAGCAGAUGCAGAAAUAACAUUGGCUUUAAUCUGCCCCUGUCCAGAACCCACAGGGGCUGAUGCCCAGUCUUCCCACUGUGGCCUGCAGUGAUGGGGCACAGAGACUGGAAGUGCAGGAGCCCAGCAUACAUGCAGCCAGGCUGUGCAGAAGAAAGACACAGAUGAAGCGACGCUUCUUCUUCUGCAUCCCAGAGUCCCAGAGCUGCUAGGUCCUUGCUCCUGCAGUUAGACAGAGCCUUCCUGUGUGUGGGGAGGGCAGGAGUGGUGGUAAGAGACAAGGUGCAGAUGCUCCAGUAGGGGAGAAAGGGAGCCCCAAAUGGAACAGGAAGAGCUACUUUUCCAAAGGCCAGGACAGCACAUGGGCAACUGGAGACCGAGCUGGACACUAGUAAGCUCCCAGGCUGCAUCCCAGCAUCUUCACUGUAAGACACACAGUGGUGGACAAACCACUCUCUCUGGGCUGCGGUUCCUCC